GACGAACGCUGGCGGCGUGCUUAACACAUGCAAGUCGAACGGAAAGGCCCUGCUUUUGUGGGGUGCUCGAGUGGCGAACGGGGGAGUAACACGUGAGUAACCUGCCCUUGACUUUGGGAUAACUUCAGGAGACUGGGGCUAAUAUCGGAUAGGAGCUCCUGCUGCAUGGUGGGGGUUGGAAAGUUUCGGCGGUUGGGGAUGGACUCGCGGCUUAUCAGCUUUUUGGUGGGGUAGUGGCUUACCAAGGCUUUGACGGGUAGCCGGCCUGAGAGGGUGACCGGCCACCUUGGGACUGAGCUACGGCCCAGUCUCCUACGGGAGGCAGCAGUGGGGAAUAUUGCACAAUGGGCGGAAGCCUGAUGCAGAAACGCCGCGUGCGGGAUGACGGCCUUCGGGUUAUGAACUGCUUUCGCCUGUGACAAAGCGUGAGUGACGGUAAUGGGUAAAGAAGCACCGGCUAACUACGUG
rnacentral:rRNA from 1 species